rnacentral:rRNA from 1 species
GACGAACGCUGGCGGCGUGCUUAACACAUGCAAGUCGAACGGAAAGGCCCUGCUUUUGUGGGGUGCUCGAGUGGCGAACGGGUGAGUAACACGUGAGUAACCUGCCCUUGACUUUGGGAUAACUUCAGGAAACUGGGGCUAAUACCGGAUAGGAGCUCCUGCUGCAUGGUGGGGGUUGGAAAGUUUCGGCGGUUGGGGAUGGACUCGCGGCUUAUCAGCUUGUUGGUGGGGUAGUGGCUUACCAAGGCUUUGACGGGUAGCCGGCCUGAGAGGGUGACCGGCGACAUUGGAACUGUGAUACGGCCCAGACUCCUACCGGAGACAGCAGUGGGGAAUGUUGCACAAUGGGCGGAAGCCUGAUGCAGCAACGCCGCGUGCGGGAUGACGGCCUUCGGGUGGUAAACCGCUUUCGCCUGUGACGAAGCGUGAGUGACGGUAAUGGGUAAAGAAGCACCGGCUAACUACGUG